rnacentral:lncRNA from 10 species
GAAGAUUGGGACUUAAUGGAAAGGUUUAUGGAGCAAGUGAUCUUUAAAUAUUUAAGGGCAGAACCUGAAGACCAUUAUUUUCUUUUGACAGGGUUUUGCUCUGUUGCUCAGGCUGGAAUGCAGUGGAUCAAUCAUGGCUCAUUGCAGUGUUGACCUCCCAGCUCAAACAGUUCUCCCAGCUCAGAUUCCUGAGUAGCUAGGACACACAGGCCCGGGCCACCACACCUGGGUAAUGUGUUCUGGUUUAGAGAUGGAGUCUCACUUUGUCACCCAGGCUGGUCUUGAACUCCUGGGCUCCAAGUGAUCCUCCCGCCAUGGCCUCUCAAAGUGCUGCCACCAUGCCUGGCUUAGUUCUAGUUUUUGGUUAUAAUAAAAUAAUUUGACCAUUGUGAACCUUCUUC